CAUGGCGCACAAUUUUUGUUGAAGAUGCCAAAAAAAACUACAAAAGAUUAGAAUGAAUACUGUAUUUUUACUUUUUUGAUAUCUUUAAAAAUGACUGAAAUAUUCAAGCUCAAAGUGCGCUCUUCCGCUAGGAGCGAUUUUCCGCGCGGAUUUAGAAAAUGUGACGUAGUAACAUGAAAAGCUGCAUGUAAGAUAUUAUCUGUGUACAAUGGUUAGAAUGGUUAGUAGGGGAGCCGAAGUGGGGAUUUCGGGACUUACUAAAGAGUGGCAGACUAACUUACAAGGAAAUACUUUGUACCUGGUUGAUUACCUCUAAGUAUGAAUUUUUGAUAUAAAACGGCAUUAGUUCUUAUGCCUCUCACCCAAAAAAUACCUCAAUUAAGCCCAAAUUUGAGACCGCAGCCAAACUUUGAGUGACGAUGGAAACUAGCCUAGAUGGAGGUCACAUGAAAUUGAACUUCUGCUUCUUCAUUGAUAAAGACUUAUCAUUUACCAUACCUUAUCAUUUUGUAUUCCAUUUUCAAGUCACUUUUUUUUCGCUUACUGUUUAAACAAAACGUGGGAUUUUUUUAAAUCUCAGGUCUUUUGAACGCACAUCUGAACGAUGUCUGGUUUUAAUUUCUUCAGUUACUCCGUGACCAUGGCGCUUGCAACAGUGCCGAAAUAUUGGAAACUCAAAACUAAGCACAACGAAAAUCUGCUUUGGCGCGUAGCAAUGCAACGUGACAACUACAGUUCGGACUUCUUUAUGCGUCCACUACACAUAAAAUAAAAUUCGAACUAUCGCACA